rnacentral:lncRNA from 1 species
UUUUCCAAGUGAUCAUGGACAUUAAGUUGAGGGUUAUUUUAGUAACUUCAGAUUAAUUAAGUGGAGUAGCUGCUUAUAAAAUGAAAAGAAAUAUUUUGUUAGAAUUCACGAGUACUGUGGGUUGGUGACUAGUUCCCUCCCUCCAAAAACAGAUUUCUGAUCUUCUUCCGGUCCCUCCAAUUCCCUUUCUAGUAACAAAAAGGUAUGCAUGGUAAAACUCUUUUAUUUCCUCCUCCUAGCCUGCGUGCUGCAUAUUUUUCUAAUUUGUGGUUUGUUGGGGACAAAAAAAUCAAGAAUGGAGUAUUAAUUACUGCAUAGCCACAACCAAAUUCUCUAUUCCCCAUAUUUUAGAGUUUUACCCCUCGAUCGAAUAACACCACGUAUUAGAAACUUCGGACAAAAGUAAGUAAUUUGGAUUGUAUUUACAGAUUGUUUUUUUUUUUGCCAUUGUAAUUAAAACUGUUUAACUAAUUAUAUUGGAUUCUAAAUCCUUUGAUUUUUUCUUAAAUUUCCACCGUGGCAUGACAUGGUGUUAUUGGAGGGUGUAAAAAUUUAAUUUUACGGUUCAUCCGUAUACAAUUUAUUCGAUCUCCUUAAGUUUGUCAUGACACUUGUUUUAAUUUAUAUCAUUUCUCGAGUUCUCUUUAGGUAGGUAAGGUUGUAAAAUGAGUAAACAGUUCGGGCUCGAUUCGUACCCGCUCGAAAAAAAAUUCAAUUUGAGCUCGACUCGAAAUAUAAAUGAGUCAAAUAUGAGCAAAUUUUAAAAUUCAAUAAUUUACUCGAACUUUCUCAAAUUACAAUUUUCUAUUGAUACUCGGAUCAUAUUCGUUCGUUCAAACUGCUCGGGCUCAAUUUGAGAUCGUGCUAGACUCAGUAGCUAAACGAGUUUCAAUCAAAUCUUAUUUUAUACUCGAUAAAUUUUGUAAACUAAAUAUGAAUAACUCAAUACUUGGCUCGAUCGACUCGGUUCAUUUAGCAGCUAGUAAUAACUUGUGAAUAACCAACCUAGCUAUUGUUCCAAAUAUUGGUACGUAGUCAGUGAGGAAGAAUGAAGUCGCCUAAGAACCUAAUAAAUAAAUUAAUUAUGGCACUAUAUAUGUUUUCUGUGUUUGCAGUUCUUAAUGUGUUUCUCUUAAUUUUAGUUUUUUCUGGUAGGGAUUUUAAAAAAAAAAAAUUAAUAUAUAUACUAAGCAAAUUGUAAAGG